rnacentral:rRNA from 1 species
UACGUAGGUGUCGGGCGUUGUCCGGAUUUAUUGGGCGUAAAGAGCGUGUAGGCGGCCAGGUAGGUCUGCUGUGAAAACUCGAGGCUCAACCUCGAGACGUCGGCGGAAACCAUCUGGCUAGAGUCCGGAAGAGGAGAGUGGAAUUCCUGGUGUAGCGGUGAAAUGCGCAGAUAUCAGGAAGAACACCCGUGGCGAAGGCGGCUCUCUGGGACGGUACUGACGCUGAGGAGCGAAAGCGUGGGGAGCGAACAGG